GCAUUGGUGGCUCAGUGGUAGAAUGCUCGCCUGCCACGCGGGCAGCCCGGGUCCAAUUCCCGGUCGAUGCA
ensembl:tRNA